rnacentral:rRNA from 1 species
AAUAGAUACCCGGGUAGUCCACGCCGUAAACGGUGGGCACUAGGUGUGGGCGACAUUCCACGUCGUCCGUGCCGCAGCUAACGCAUUAAGUGCCCCGCCUGGGGAGUACGGCCGCAAGGCUAAAACUCAAAGGAAUUGACGGAGGCCCGCACAAGCGGCGGAGCAUGUGGCUUAAUUCGACGCAACGCGAAGAACCUUACCAAGGCUUGACAUACACCGGAAACGUCCAGAGAUGGGCGCCCCCUUGUGGUCGGUGUACAGGUGGUGCAUGGCUGUCGUCAGCUCGUGUCGUGAGAUGUUGGGUUAAGUCCCGCAACGAGCGCAACCCUUGUCCCGUGUUGCCAGCAGGCCCUUGUGGUGCUGGGGACUCACGGGAGACCGCCGGGGUCAACUCGGAGGAAGGUGGGGACGACGUCAAGUCAUCAUGCCCCUUAUGUCUUGGGCUGCACACGUGCUACAAUGGCCGGUACAAUGAGCUGCGAUACCGCGAGGUGGAGCGAAUCUCAAAAACGCCGGUCUCAGUUCGGAUUGGGGU